rnacentral:rRNA from 1 species
UGGGGAAUAUUGGACAAUGGGCGAAAGCCUGAUCCAGCCAUGCCGCGUGUGUGAAGAAGGCCUUCGGAUUGUAAAGCACUUUAAGUUGGGAGGAAGGGCAUUAACCUAAUACGUUAGUGUUUUGACGUUACCGACAGAAUAAGCACCGGCUAACUCUGUGCCAGCAGCCGCGGUAAUACAGAGGGUGCAAGCGUUAAUCGGAAUUACUGGGCGUAAAGCGCGCGUAGGUGGUCUGUUAAGUUGGAUGUGAAAUCCCCGGGCUCAACCUGGGAACUGCAUUCAAAACUGACUGACUAGAGUAUGGUAGAGGGUGGUGGAAUUUCCUGUGUAGCGGUGAAAUGCGUAGAUAUAGGAAGGAACACCAGUGGCGAAGGCGACCACCUGGACUAAUACUGACACUGAGGUGCGAAAGCGUGGGGAGCAAACA